GCGUAGGUGGUCUGUUAAGUCCGAUGUGAAAUCCCUGGGCUCAACCUGGGAACUGCAUUCGGAUACUGGCGCGACUAGAGUCGUGGUAAAGGGUAGCGGAAUUUCCUGGUGUACCAGUGAAAUGCGUAGAGAUCUGGAGGAACAUCCGUGGCGAAGGCGGCUCCCUGGACCAACACUGACACUGAGGCGCGAAAGCGUGGGGAGCAAACAGGAUUAGAUACCCUGGUAGUCCACGCCCUAAACGAUGCCAACUGGAUGGUGGGUGCCUUUUGGCACGCAUUAUCGAACCUAACGCGUUAAUUUCCCCCCCGGGGGAGUCCGGCCGCAAGACUGAAAUUCAAUGGAAUUGAC
rnacentral:rRNA from 1 species